AUUGAACGCUAGCGGCAGGCUUUACACAUGCAAGUCGAGCGAGCGGCGGACGGGUGAGUAAUAUAUGGGAAACUGCCCGGUGGAGGGGGAUAACUACUGGAAACGGUGGCUAAUACCGCAUACUAUUGGAGGUGCCCAGAGCGGAUUAGCUAGUGGGUGGGGUAAGGGCUCACCAAGGCAACGAUCCCUAGCUGGUUUGAGAGGACGACCAGCCACACUGGAACUGAGACACGGUCCAGACUCCUACGGGAGGCAGCAGUGGGGAAUUUUGGACAAUGGGCGCAAUCCUGAUGCAGCCAUGCCGCGUGUAUGAAGAAGGCCUUCGGGUUGUAAAGCACUUUUGGCAAGGAGGCGUUACCCGCAGAAGAAGCACCGGCUAACUCCGUGCCAGCAGCCGCGGUAAUUC
rnacentral:rRNA from 1 species